GUCGAGAAUCUUCCCCAAUGGGCGAAAGCCUGAGGGAGCGACGCCGCGUGAGGGAUGAAGGCCCUUUGGGUUGUAAACCUCUGUUAGGGGGAAAGAAAAGCAGUGGAAGCAAUAUGUCCAUUGCCUGACGUUACCCCCAGAGAAAGCUCCGGCCAACUCCGUGCCAGCAGCCGCGGUAAUACGGGGGGAGCAAGCGUUGUCCGGAAUCAUUGGGCGUAAAGGGCGUGUAGGCGGCUUGGCAAAUCGAAUGUGAAAUCCCACGGCUCAACCGUGGAACUGCGUUCGAAACUGCCUUGCUUGAGUGCGGGAGAGGUGUGCGGAAUUCCUGGUGUAGCGGUGGAAUGCGUAGAUAUCAGGAAGAACACCGGUGGCGAAGGCGGCACACUGGCCCAGCACUGACGCUGAGGCGCGAAAGCGUGGGGAGCGAACGGGAUUAGAUACCCUAGUAGUCC
rnacentral:rRNA from 1 species